rnacentral:tRNA from 1 species
GGGUCUGUAGCUCAGUCGGUUAGAGCGCACCCCUGAUAAGGGUGAGGUCGGAGGUUCAAGUCCUCCCUGACCCACCA